AUUCCUUCCAGUGCCAAGAGAGAGUAAAAGCAGCGCUCUCUGAGAGACCGUUGUGUGGAUUCCAUUGUGGAACCUGAAAUCUGAGCUUCGUGCGCAACGUAGCUUUGCGGCCCCACGUUUGUACCGUUUUUCCCGUCGUGGCGAGUGGAGCUGCUCUGGUCUCCCAUUUAAAUGUGUGUGACGUCGUCGUCGUCGUCGUCGUCGGUGUUUUGUCGUCGUCCUGCGUCGCCACGAGUCUGCGUCCGAGUACGAAUCGGAGUCCGGCAACGGCUUUGGAGUCCGCUACUCCCUACAGUUCUAACGGUACUUCAAAAGCAGCAGCAGCAGCAACAGUUGCAACGCAUGCCGCAGCAGAAAGCAGCGGCAAACCAGCAGCAACAAAUGAAAAUGUAAAGUGAAAAAGAGUGAAACUACAAGU